AGAGUUUGAUCCUGGCUCAGGAUGAACGCUAGCUACAGGCUUAACACAUGCAAGUCGAGGGGAAACGACAUCGAAAGCUUGCUUUUGAUGGGCGUCGACCGGCGUACGGGUGAGUAACGCGUAUCCAACCUGCCCACCACUUGGGGAUAACCUUGCGAAAGUAAGACUAAUACCCAAUGAUAUCUCUAGAAGACAUCUGAAAGAGAUUAAAGAUUUAUCGGUGAUGGAUGGGGAUGCGUCUGAUUAGCUUGGUUGGCGGGGUAGCCGGCCCACCAAGGCAACGAUCAGUAGGGGUUCUGAGAGGAACGGUCCCCCACAUUGGAACUGAGACACGGUACCAACUCCUACGGGAGGCAGCA
rnacentral:rRNA from 1 species